UACGACGCGUUCAUCGCUUCGUAAACAAUAGAGAUUUUCAAUGUGUGUGUAGCUUGUUCGUUCGUUUGGUUGACAAUCGCGAUGUGAUGUAUUCUACAUCAUCGCAUGCUGAGUUAUAUUUUCAACAAAACCUUUUAAUUUUUAAUUAAGUUACUUGAUUAAUUUCUAAAUGUUUUCUUUCGUUGUGAAUACCUUUCUCUGUUUUAAUUUCUAAAUAUGUGUAAUUUGCCGCCGAAGUUCCAUUCAGUGUGUCGCCUUUGUUUAUCAUUCUGUGGCGAUAAUUGCAGUGAUGUUAAACUUCCAAUUUUCGACCGUGAUAAGGAUAAAUCACGCCUUUCCGAGAUGAUAAUGGCAAAUUUGUCAAUAAUGGUGUCCCCUGAAGACUUGCUGCCACAAGUUGUGUGUGGGAGCUGUGCACACAAACUUGAUGAAUUUCACACCUUCAGAGAGUUAUCACACAAAUCUGAACGGCUUUUGGAACAGUUCGUGCAAUAUGCCAAUUCACUAUCUGGUCCAAAAGAGGAGAUCCUGAACAUAACGGCGGCAAAAUUGGAAGAAAUAAUCAAACCACUGAGCGACAGCGAGUACGAGCACGAAUUGAAACACAAAUAUGCCGAGAUCGGCUCUCCGGAUUCAACUGAGGAGAUGAAGAACUUGGAGAGCCGGCAAGCGGCGGUCACACUACUGCAGAUUAAAAAUUACGACCCAAGUAAAUAUGCGGUCAAACAAGAAGAGGAGCCUCAUAUAAUGUUCAACAGCGUGCCGAGUUUACCGCCCUCUGACAGAGCGAGAGAGGUGAUGCACUGCAACACCGUCAUCGAUAUUAUAAGCAAGGCUGUGGCGGUCGCGCAGCGGGAAAACGAAGAAUCUCAGAAGUAUCCACCGAACUACACGGGCGUCAUCGACAGGACACACGCGAGCGGCGCGGCCGACACCUACGCGCAUGAGUACCCCGACGAGCAGUACAGCGUGUACAGCGCGCCGCCGCACGCCGCCAGCCCCGCCAGCAACGAAGACCAUGACAACAAGGAAAUGGACCUCUCUCUAUACAGCACAGUCAAGAACGAGCCCGCGGAACAGACCGACCCGCAGGAACAGAACAACUCAUACUUCCACACAACACUAACACACAAGCCCAACUUUGUUGACGAGUACAAGCAACACGUUUUUGGACGAAACAAAAUGAAGACGUCCAAGGAGAAUUCAUCGGUGUAUGAAGAUUGUAGUCGGAGUAGUAGUGGGUCAGACCCGGACAGGCUACAGAUGGAUAUAUCUCAGAUGUCGCAGGACGACCCUGAGGAGACGCAGUCAGCUAGGUCGACACAGUCUUCGCCACAGCCACCGAUGGAACAUGAACAGGACAAGGAGUCGCUGUGGCAGGCUCUACACAGGCAAAAUGGUCGCAGCGGGGAAGCGACGCAGUUACUACGACGGCUGAUCAACAGCAAACAGCUUGGUAUGACAGUGUCGCCGCUGAGGACCCCCACCGCAUCCCCGCUCUCCACCGCUAUGCAGCAGCCGCUCAACGGCUCUGUUUCACCGAAUGGUGAGUGGCACAGUUCGGGUCGCGGGUCGGGCGUGGCGGGCACGGCGCGAAGAAAACAAAGCUUCCCCGCGCGAGCGCAACCCGUCAUGGCCGUCGACGCGCCCGCCACUAACCAGCAGUGGCCGCAAACAGCUUCAGAAAAUCAGGAACCACCGGAUGCAUCAGGCGCAGGCGGGGCAGGCGCGGGUCGCGGCGCCGCUCGUGUAGAACUGUCAUGCAGCAACUGCGGCACGCACACCACGACGAUCUGGCGACGCGACGCGCGCGGCGAGAUGGUGUGCAACGCGUGCGGGUUGUACUUCAAGCUGCACGGCGUGCCGCGCCCCACCGCCAUGCGCCGCGACACCAUACACACGCGCCGCCGGAGGCCACGCCAUGAUGCCAAGCAUACUAAGAGCAAAUCUCGUCGCAGUGGCGGCAGCGGUGGAGGCGGCGGCGGCGGCGCGUGCGAGGCGGGCGAGGGCGCGGGCAGCGGCGGCGAGGGCGCGGAGGAGGCGGUGCUGGCGGCGCUGCGGCGCCAGCUGCAGCCGCACCUGCUGGCCGCGCUGCACGCGCACAACACGCGCACCGUGCGCCCGCACACUGACCAGGUGGGUCUGAACGCUCCCGAGUACGACGAGGCGCCGCUGAACCUAGUAGCCAGUCACGUAGCCGCGGCCGAGGAGACGCACUGACUGCCCCUGUGAUAGCCUCACUCACACUUCCCACAGAGCAUUGCGUGUAUCCUGUAUCGAUCGCUUCUCUUCCACGACUAACUGGUGUUCCCGCGAACGUUUUACACAAGCAGCCUUUUGUAAAACACUCGCCCCAACACUCACUCGAAAAGCAAUAAAUUUAUAGCGUUAAGUAUACAUGCAAUAAUAACAUUCUUCAUAUUAUAUAGUACUAAAUAUCUAUUUAGUGACAGUUCAGGCCAGUGUUUGAUGACAAUAGAGGGAAAAAUAUAUAUUUAAAAAUUGUUCAUUCCUUUCGUCCGGUCGUCAUAGAGCUAUAAUGAAAUGUGAAUUAUUUUUAUAGGAGAUCAUACAUUUUUCAUAAUCGAUUCUCACUUAGCACUUUAUUGACGGUUUCGGCUUUUCAAAAAAAAAUAUAUCUAGCGACCGGUUGAACUUUGGAAUAGUAUACUACAAGUGCUUUUAAACUAAACUAAAGCAAUAAGUAGGUUGUCGACACGGUAAAGAUUACAUAAUGUUUAUAGAAACGCGUUGGCAAAACUCGAUGCCUUUUAAAUCACGUGCCUAAUUUUCGUGGUCGACAAUCCAGUCUAAUUAAUAUUCAAAGCAAAUCGUCUCGAACGUCGAUUAACAAAAUACAAAUACUAGGGCAUUACACAUUAUCACAUCGUGAUUUGGUCGCGGGAAUCGUUCAUUGUAUUAGUGCCUAUUUAAUGUAUAGGGAAGAAAAUGGAACCAUAGUGAAUGAUAUGCGAAAGGGUACUUCUGUGUGUACAUAUUUUCUUAACAUGUGAUAUGUAUGAUUGUCGGUCAUACAUGUGAACGCAUCGUGCAAUUUGUGAUGUGGCAGCUCGGAACACUCCAAACAUGAGAUUAGUUCUAGCGGCCGUAUGAAAACUAUUCGGGUUUGUUCGUUGAACUUCGCGCAGACGCCGAUUUCGAUCUGUAAUAAUAAAUCUCAAAACGAUAAUGACACUAUAUCGGGUUUUAUUAUAGUAAGCCUUGCCUUAGAAUGCUCUCUUUGAUAUUAUUGAAAUUAUAUUUACGGUUACCUAUUGCAGGACGCAAGUAUUCUUUUAGUUUUAGGUCAUAUUGUAAAUUUUAUUAUUUACGUAGUAGUUUUAAUGCUUGAAUUCAGUAAAUUAUAAGUGUCUAAUUUAUUUCCCAUUUCGGUCAGUAUUUACAAUGUAAGUAUUUUUUUCUGUCGAGUAUUUUUUCUUAGUUAAGGUAACGAAAUGAGAAGAAGCAAUAAUGACAAGCAAAACUAUUUCUGGAAAAUUAUUUGCCAGAUAAUAGUGUCAACACAGGGUUGACAAAUCAGCUUAGAAAUGCUACGAAAUUAACUUUAUUUGAUCUACCUUGCCCUUUUGCAUUAUAUGCUUAAAGUUAGUGAAUAACUCCACUAAACCCAUCAUGAUCACUAAUCUGUGACAAAUACUUAGUAUACCUUUCUCAUUAACAUUAUAUCAAUUAUGAUGUUGCCUUUAAACAUUACUAAUAAAACCUGUAACUUUGGCAUUAUUAAAAUAGAUUUACAUCAUAGGUAAAAGUUUAUUUUAAGAAUUAAUUUUUCAAUCCAUUUAUGAUUAUUGGGCAUUUUUGGUUGUUAAGCGUUAGAACAAACCAUUUAACAGAAACGUUGUGGCAUUAUAUUGAGUAAAUCUACCGGAUUCACCUCAUAAUGGUCAGUGUUAUGUGUUUAUUUAUAACAGAAAGCAUUUACGUUAUCUGUACCUUGAACUGGGCUGUUAUGUUAUUGCUUCCAUUCGACUUAUUUAGCUGUGAACUCUGUCACCGUCCUUUACUUGACGUCUCUACUUAACUUAGUAUUAGUUCGUUUAAUUAUCGAAACCCCACGGGCCAGUAAAAUACAGCAGUCUAUGAGACAUUGUGAUAAUACUUAGCAAGACAAACUCGGCUGUAGCGUCGCUGAGAUCCUGAUCGUAUUGUGUUGCAGCUAACCUUCAACGUUACGUCAAGCUUAUCGUAUUUAUAAAGCUUUAAAAAUUGAGAUUAUUUAUUCAUUCUUAUUGGGAUCACUGUAUAGUUGUCGGAGUAGUGUGUACCCUAAGUACCGCGUAGUAUUUUGCUUACGUUUAUUUCGGAGUAGCAGUCUACCUUGACAAUAAUGUUUCACUAACUUAUUAUGAAACUGUAACGUACGUAAAUUCUAAAAUUGUUUUGCUCUCUACUUAACUAUAGCUCUCUGUAUGAUGAUAUUAAAUUGAAAAUCAAUAUUUAUCCAUGAUAAUUUUUGAACUUGAUAUAGUACCUAGGGUGUGUUUAUUUUUCUAAGAGUAUAUCUUUGAUGGAAUUUUAUCUCGAAUAUUAUUAUUUUUUAAAUUGGAGCCAGGAAUAAUGGUGUAAGUCAGUGAAUAUUAAAAUGGAUACUUAUGUUGAUAUUUUUUUCGAAUUUGAAUUGUAAUAAAAUACCAGUAGUACCUACCAAGUAUUGGUUUUGAAAUAGGAAAAUAUACACAAUAUGCAAUUGGAUGGUAUUAUUUAUGGAGUGGUUGCUUCAAUGCAUUACCAGUGGUGAUAGAAAUACGACGCGGUGUAGGGGUAACGUGUUGCGUCAGUAUGAAACCACGCAGUGUAGAAGUAUCAAUCGCUAUGAAUUCUCCACGAAUAUUGCUAAUUGCAGUAGUGACACAGUAUUAUUUUAUUGAACUCUACUCUGUACAUUUGUGUUAGGUUUAUUAUUUUUGUAUUUUUAUAGGUUUUAUCUAGAUUGACUUCCGAAUUUAAAUUUGUAAUUGUAGUUGUGGGUGGUAGUGAAGUGGAAUGUUUGGUUAAAUAUUCUCACUGGAACAUCGUCGUCUCCGAACUGCUAGACCAACUCGUGUCUGUGUCUGGUACAUGAAGCAGAAUACAGCUCUAAUAGAUCUUCCAAUUUGGUUAUUUAUUAUUGUUAGGUUAAUUUAUGGAUAUAUCGGUAUUAAGAGUUGAUGAACAAUGUAUAUCGUCAUUUAGUUACUAACAAACCGGUUGUGUUGUGUGUGCUUACGCUCUAACAAGCAUGUGUUUGUGAUUUUGUUUUAUUAUCACGUCUGACAGGGACGCAGACAGUACCAAUGCUGUUGUGUAUUAUUAUAAUUUAUGCUGGAAUAUGGGCUUCGUAUUCAUAUACUAGGAAUUCCAUUCGACAUUGUAUGUAACAUCAUUUUUCGAAGAUUAAAGACUGACAAGAACUCUCAUAAUGUCUUCUGUUUUGUAAUCUCUCUCACGUUCUAUUUCACUCGAAUUAUUCGAAAAAUGUUGAUGUAAAAGUAUUUUAAUUCAUUGUGAUAUCUUUUGUUGGAGAAUGUAGAUGUGUGUAUCCGAAAAGCAAUAACAUUGUGAUAAGUGGUGAUGAACAUUGUAUGUUAAACUGAACACUUAAUUCUGAAUAAUAUAGAAUGAAUAUUGUCAAUUAUAUAUUGAGCGCGCUGGACGGGUGAGCACGCAGCCAAUAAACUUAAUGCCUCGAACUAGUUUCGAAUAAUGUUACGAUAGCAAUAAAUUUGAUGAAAGCAAUAGACCACAUACGGUCACAUUAGCCUUAUAUUUCACAUUAAAUAUACUAUACUUAUCGUAAUUAUAAUUAAGAAAAAGUGUUGUAUUUACCUAGAUACUGCGAGCCCAGUCGUCCAGUGGCAAAACUUUGAUACCGAUAAGCUCGUCUUUAAUGUCAAAUUUCAACUCGUUUGAUUAUAAGCAGAUGGGAAUUAGUCUGCAGAAUGAUUUCCUUCGUAAAGACGUAUUUAUAUAUUAUGAUGUAAAGCAAUAAUUUCCAAUAUAGAAAGCUUGAUGGACCAUUUGUUAUUGUUGUUGUCAAAUUACAUAACUGUACGUAUUUAUAGUAAGUUUCAGCAUAAAUUAUCCGUUUGAGAUUGUUUAGUAUGAACACGUGGCCGGAAUACUCAUUGUGAAACAUUAGUUAUUGUUGUAUAGAUGAUAAAUAAUGUGACUUACGCAGGGAUGGAUACUUAAAUUAUUAAAGUUUUAACUGAUAUAUUGGCUAUGUAGUGAGUAGAAUAUUUUUUUACAAAUAAAUUAUAGCAGCUAA
rnacentral:misc_RNA from 1 species